rnacentral:tRNA from 2 species
GGCGCGUUGGCAGAGUGGUUAUGCAGCGGAUUGCAAAUCCGUGUACAUCGGUUCGAUUCCGGUACGCGCCUCCA